UGGUCAAGUUAUUAAGGGUGCAGGGCGGAUGCCUUGGCACUAGGAGCCGAUGAAGGACGUGAUAAGCUGCGAUAAGCUUCGGGGAGUUGCACGUAAACUUUGAUCCGAAGAUUUCCGAAUGAGGAAACUCACUUAGAGUAAUGUCUAAGUAUCAUUAAGUGAAUACAUAGCUUAAUGAGGGGAACUCAGGGAACUGAAACAUCUAAGUACCUGAAGGAAGAGAAAGAAAUUCGAUUCCGUAAGUAGCGGCGAGCGAACGCGGAUUAGCCCAAACCAAUAAAGUUUUCUUUAUUGGGGUUGCGGACAUAUCAUAACGAAGAGGUAUCGUAAUUGAAGAGGUUUGGAAAGACCCACCACAGAAGGUAAUAGUCCUGUAUGUUAAACGAGAAGACUUCAGAUAUGAUCCAGAGUACCA
rnacentral:rRNA from 1 species